rnacentral:rRNA from 1 species
ACUAAAACUAGCCCAAACAACAAUCAACUAAAACUACUACACACAACAAUUAAUCAAAACAUUCAGUCAUAGAAUAAAAGUAUAGGAGAUAGAAAUUUUACUUGGAGCUAUAGAAAAAGUACCGUAAGGGAAUGAUGAAAGACAUGAUUUAAAGUAAAAAACAGCAAAGAUUACCCCUUUUACCUUUUGCAUAAUGAAUUAGCUAGACAUGACUUAGCAAAGAGAACUUAAGUUAAUUACCCCGAAACCAGACGAGCUACCUAUGAACAAUCCACUUGGGGUGAACUCAUCUAUGUUGCAAAAUAGUGAGAAGAUUCCUAGGUAGAGGUGAAAAGCCUAACGAGCCUGGUGAUAGCUGGUUGCCCAGAAUAGAAUUUUAGUUCAAUUUUAAAUUUACCUAACAACUUUAAAAUUUUAAUGUAAAUUUAAAAUAUACUCUAAAAAGGUACAGCUUUUUAGACAAGGAUACAGCCUUACUUAGAGAGUAAAACAACACACAACCAUAGUAGGCCUAAAAGCAGCCACCAAUUAAGAAAGCGUUCAAGCUCAACAACAACAUAAUCUUAAUACCAAAAAUCUCUAAUAAACUCCUAAUAUAAUACUGGGCCAAUCUAUUUUAUAAUAGAAGCAAUAAUGCUAAUAUGAGUAACAAGAAAUAUUUCUCCUUGCACAAGCUUAUAGCAGGUAACGAAUGAAUCACUGAUAGUUAACAACAAGAUAAAAAUAACCUAACCAUGAAACAUCUAUCAAGCCCAUUGUUAGUCCAACACAGGAGUGCAACUAAGGAAAGGUUAAAAGAAGUAAAAGGAACUCGGCAAACACAAACCCCGCCUGUUUACCAAAAACAUCACCUCUAGCAUUAACAGUAUUAGAGGCACUGCCUGCCCAGUGACAUUAGUUAAACGGCCGCGGUAUCCUGACCGUGCAAAGGUAGCAUAAUCAUUUGUUCUCUAAAUAGGGACUUGUAUGAAUGGCCACACGAGGGUUUGACUGUCUCUUACUUCCAACCAGUGAAAUUGACCUUCCCGUGAAGAGGCGGGAAUAAAAAAAUAAGACGAGAAGACCCUAUGGAGCUUUAAUUAACUAACCCAAUGAUAGAAUCACAAACCCACCAACAGGUGCCAACACUACUACUAUCAUAUGGGUUAACAAUUUAGGUUGGGGUGACCUCGGAGAAUAAAAUAACCUCCGAGUGAUACAAACCUAGACUAACCAGUCGAAGUACCAUUAUCACUUAUUGAUCCAAAACAUUUUGAUCAACGGAACAAGUUACCCUAGGGAUAACAGCGCAAUCCUAUUCAAGAGUCCAUAUCAACAAUAGGGUUUACGACCUCGAUGUUGGAUCAGGACAUCCUAAUGGUGCAGCAGCUAUUAAUGGUUCGUUUGUUCAACGAUUAAAGUCCUACGUGAUCUGAGUUCAGACCGGAGUAAUCCAGGUCGGUUUCUAUCUAUUAAACAAUUUCUCCCAGUACGAAAGGACAAGAAAAAUUAGGCCCACUCUAACGGAGCGCCUAAAGACCAACAGAUGAUAUAAUCUCAAUCUGACUAGUCUACCUUCAUUCCAAAGCCCUAGAGAUAGGGCUU